rnacentral:rRNA from 1 species
CCGGGGUUGCGGACAGUGUCUGGUGGGUAGUUUGACUGGGGCGGUCUCCUCCCAAAGCGUAACGGAGGAGCACGAAGGUUAGCUAAUCCUGGUCGGACAUCAGGAGGUUAGUGCAAUGGCAUAAGCUAGCUUGACUGCGAGCGUGACGGCGCGAGCAGGUGCGAAAGCAGGUCAUAGUGAUCCGGUGGUUCUGAAUGGAAGGGCCAUCGCUCAACGGAUAAAAGGUACUCCGGGGAUAACAGGCUGAUACCGCCCAAGAGUUCAUAUCGACGGCGGUGUUUGGCACCUCGAUGUCGGCUCAUCACAUCCUGGGGCUGAAGUAGGUCCCAAGGGUAUGGCUGUUCGCCAUUUAAAGUGGUACGCGAGCUGGGUUUAGAACGUCGUGAGACAGUUCGGUCCCUAUCUGCCGUGGGCGCUGGAGAAUUGAGGGGGGCUGCUCCUAGUACGAGAGGACCGGAGUGGACGCAUCACUGGUGUUCGGGUUGUCAUGCCAAUGGCACUGCCCGGUAGCUAAAUGCGGAAGAGAUAAGUGCUGAAAGCAUCUAAGCACGAAACUUGCCCCGAGAUGAGUUCUCCCUGAGACUUUAAGUCUCCUGAAGGAACGUUGAAGACGACGACGUUGAUAGGCCGGGUGUGUAAGCGCAGCGAUGCGUUGAGCUAACCGGUACUAAUGAACCGUGAGG